CAAAGGCAUGGUCCCAACCUUACUAUCAGCUGUAACACAACUUACACAUGCAAGUCUCCGCAGCCCGGUGAAUAUGCCCUCAAUCCCCCUCCCGGGGACGAGGAGCGGGUAUCAGGCACAAAUAUUUUAGCCCAAGACGCCUAGCCAAGCCACACCCCCAAGGGAAUUCAGCAGUGAUAAACAUUAAGCCAUAAGUGAAAACUUGACUUAGUUAGUGUUAACAGGGCCGGUAAAACUCGUGCCAGCCACCGCGGUUAGACGAGAGGCCCUAGUUGAUAUAACAGCGGCGUAAAGAGUGGUUAAGGAUAAACAAAUUUUUUAAAGCCAAAUGGCCCCUUGGCCGUCAUACGCUUCUGGGCAUCCGAGGCCCUAUUUACACGAAAGUAGCUUUAAACAUACCCGCCUGACCCCACGAAAGCUGAGAAACAAACUGGGAUUAGAUACCCCACUAUGCUCGGCCAUAAACCAAGACAUCCACCUACAAUUAGAUGUCCGCCAGGGUACUACGAGCAACAGCUUAAAACCCAAAGGACCUGACGGUGUCUCAGACCCCCCUAGAGGAGCCUGUUCUAGAACCGAUAACCCUCGUUUAACCUCACCACCUCUAGCCACCCCAGCCUAUAUACCGCCGUCGUCAGCUUACCCUGUGAAGGGAUAAAAGUAAGCAAAAUGGGCACAACCCAGAACGUCAGGUCGAGGUGUAGCGCAUGAAGUGGGAAGAAAUGGGCUACAUUUUCUAUUAUAGAAUACUACGAACACGCACCAUGAAAGUAGUGCUUGAAGGAGGAUUUAGUAGUAAAAGGGAAACAGAGUGUCCCUUUGAACCCGGCUCUGAGACGCGUACACACCGCCCGUCACCCUCCCCGUCAAAAUCUACUAAAAAUACCUAAUACAAUAAUAACAACAAGGAGAGGCAAGUCGUAACAUGGUAAGUGUACCGGAAGGUGCACUUGGAUCAAACC
rnacentral:ncRNA from 1 species